UACGUAGGGGGCAAGCGUUGUCCGGAAUCAUUGGGCGUAAAGAGCGUGUAGGCGGUCCGGUCAGUCGGUUGUGAAAGUCAAGGGCUCAACCCUUGAAUGCCGGCCGAUACUGCCGGGCUAGAGUCCGGAAGAGGUGAGUGGAAUUCCUGGUGUAGCGGUGAAAUGCGCAGAUAUCAGGAGGAACACCGAUGGCGAAGGCAGCUCACUGGGACGGUACUGACGCUGAGACGCGAAAGCGUGGGAGCAAACAGG
rnacentral:rRNA from 1 species